rnacentral:rRNA from 1 species
CAGCAGCCGCGGGAAUACGGAGGGUGCAAGCGUUAUCCGGAUUUAUUGGGUUUAAAGGGUCCGUAGGCGGACUUAUAAGUCAGUGGUGAAAGCCUGUCGCUUAACGAUAGAACUGCCAUUGAUACUGUAAGUCUUGAGUAUAUUUGAGGUAGCUGGAAUAAGUAGUGUAGCGGUGAAAUGCAUAGAUAUUACUUAGAACACCAAUUGCGAAGGCAGGUUACCAAGAUAUAACUGACGCUGAGGGACGAAAGCGUGGGUAGCGAACAGGAUUAGAUACCCGCGUAGUCCCUGUCUCUUAUAA